GUACCGUGUGAUUAAAAAAAAAUGAAUCUGAGACUGGAGAGGAUGCCUUCCUUCUUCCUUGGGGGUAUUAUUUAUCAUCAAAUCAAUUACCUGCUCUGCUCGGCUCCACUGCUCCCUGCUGCUCCUCCGUCCCCUCCCAUACCCAAUAGUCCCAUCCCUGAGACCCAGGCCAGACCAGGCAUGCCGCGCACGGCGGCGGCUGCGGCGCCCCCCGCGCGGAAGGUGCCCCUCCGCAAGCUGCUGCGCGCGGCGUCGGUGGCCUGCGGGGUGCAGUUCGGCUGGGCGCUGCAGCUGUCGCUGCUCACCCCCUACGUGCAGGAGCUCGGCAUCCCGCACGCCUUCGCCAGCCUCGUCUGGCUCUGCGGCCCGCUCUCCGGCCUCCUCGUCCAGCCCCUCGUCGGCCACCUCUCCGACCGCAUCGCCCCGGCCGCCUCCCCGCUCGGCCGCCGCAGGCCCUUCAUCGCCGCCGGCGCCGCCUCCAUCGCCGCCGCCGUCCUCACCGUCGGAUUCUCCGCCGACCUCGGCCGCAUCUUCGGCGACGACAUCACCCCGGGGAGGACGCGCCUCGGAGCCAUCUGCGUCUACCUCGUCGGAUUCUGGCUGCUCGAUGUCGGCAACAACGCCACGCAGGGGCCCUGCAGGGCCUUCCUAGCGGACCUCACCGAGAACGACCCAAGGAGGACUCGGAUUGCUAAUGCAUACUUUUCACUCUUCAUGGCCCUGGGAAACAUACUUGGAUAUGCCACCGGAGCAUACAGUGGCUGGUAUAGGAUAUUUCCUUUCACUGUUACACCAUCCUGCAGCAUGAGUUGUGCCAACCUCAAGUCUGCCUUUCUUCUUGACAUUAUUGUUCUGGUGAUUACGACAUACAUUACUGUAGCAUCAGUGCAAGAGCCGCAAACUUUUGGAGGUGAUGAAGCAGAAUACCCAGGUACCGAACAGGAAGCUUUCCUCUGGGAGCUUUUUGGGUCAUUCAGAUACUUCACGCUACCAGUUUGGAUGGUCUUAAUUGUCACUGCCCUUACAUGGAUUGGAUGGUUUCCUUUUAUCCUCUUUGAUACUGAUUGGAUGGGCCGAGAGAUCUACCGAGGAAGCCCAGACAACCCAGGAGAGACUCAAAGAUACCAUGAUGGUGUGAGAAUGGGUUCUUUUGGUCUAAUGCUGAACUCUGUCCUUCUUGGAUUCACCUCUGUUGUACUAGAAAAGUUAUGUAGGAAGUGGGGAGCUGGACUAGUAUGGGGUGUCUCCAAUAUACUGAUGGCGUUAUGCUUUGUGGCUAUGCUUGUUAUUACAUAUGUCGCAAAGAACACGGAUUAUCCUCCCAAUGGAGUACCUCCAACUGGCAUUGUCAUUGCUUCUCUUGUGGUUUUUACAAUUUUAGGAGCACCCCUGGCGAUUACAUACAGUAUACCAUAUGCAAUGGCUGCUAGUCGUGUUGAAAAUCUGGGCCUUGGCCAAGGUCUAGCAAUGGGCAUUCUAAAUUUAGCUAUCGUCAUACCACAGUGUAAAAUUACAGAUAGGCCAGAUUUGGUCUUCAGUUAAUUGUAACACAUGGCAACAUGAGACAAAGAACAAGAAGCCCACGAUGACGAAUCACUGUAUCGUUGAAUAAUAUAGAAGCGGUGGUGUUGCAGUGGCUCUAUCAACACAAGUGGAUUCCCUAUUGGAGAAACUUUCAUGAAUAGUUUGCAUUUGGAUCAUAAUGCAACAAGCUCCACCUAGAGUGAAAUUCCCUUAUGUAGUAGAAAUCAACCAUGUGCCACCAAAGUCAGGAAUAAUCAAUGCGUGAGAUGAUCUUAGUCUUUUCCAAAAGAUCCACAUGAAGCGAACGGAGAAAACAAUUGGCAGGUUAUUGUGUCACUUGGUAGUGGGCCAUGGGAUCAACUGUUCGGCGGUGGCAAUGCGCCGGCUUUUGCGGUGGCAGCCGGUGCAUCGUUCAUCGGUGGGCUGGUGGCUAUUCUGGGGCUUCCACGAGCUCGCAUUGCAUCAUCGAGGAGGAGAGGCGGGACACACCGAUAAGGUGCAUAGUACGUACAUAAUGUGUAUGAUGUGGAAGUGUUGCAACUUGCGACAAUUCUUUGCGGGGAAAUUUAUGGGGAGGCGGGUUUUGGAGAAGAGCAGGAAGCUCGUGAAUGAUGUCCUUUUCCUUUCCUUUUUGGCGGUUUGCCCUGUUGAGCUAUUUUUGGCUUUGUCUCCGAUCCAUCAUUUGUGGUUUGGAAUGUAUGUAUGUGUAUGUAUGUACGUCGGUCAUGUGUAGGGAGGUUAAUAAUUAAUAAAUAAAAGUUACAGGAGUUACGUUUACUGGCA